AGCCGUUGAUGACAUCCCAUUACUUUUCUGACACCUCAUAUGAAUGCUGCCUAGCAGCAGCUGAUUCUAAAAUUGAGUCUGAGGCUC